rnacentral:rRNA from 1 species
UGAUGUGAAAGGCCCCGGCUCAACCGGGGAGGGGCAUUGGAAACUGGGAGACUUGAGUGCAGAAGAGGAGAGUGGAAUUCCAUGUGUAGCGGUGAGAUGCGUAGAGAUAUGGAGGAACACCAGUGGCGAAGGCGGCUCUCUGGUCUGUAACUGACGCUGAGGCUCGAAAGCGUGGGGAGCAAACAGG